GUUUUUGUUUUGAGACAGGGUUUCUCUGUGUAGUCCUGGCUAUCCUGAAACUCACUAUGUAGACCAGGCUGGCCUUGAACUCGGAAAUAUGCUUGCCCCUGCCUCACCAGUGUUGGGAUUAAAGACUCGCACCAUCAUCUGGACAUUUACUAUUUUUUAACCACUGCCAACCACAGACAGCUGAGUCCACAGCAAUCAGAACUGUGGGUAAGGCUCGCUCCACAUCACUGAAUCAAAAUAAGCAUCAAUAGCUGCCACCCAUGUGUAACUCACACUAUUGGGGCCUGAGAAAAGGGUAGAUAACAAUAAGCUAUAAAUACCAUAGAUUAUAGACUGUAAUCAAAACUGACAAAUACCUAUGGGGAGAAAUGUAGAAAGAGGGAUCCGGAAUGUUAGGAGAUCAAACAGGCUACAACUGAAAACAGAAUGUUUUUGAUUCCACAAUACUUUGUAGUGACAUCUCAUAGAUGGUGGUUUGAGAUUCCCCCCCCCCCUUCCUUUUUUUCUGCUUGCUUUCUGUGGCUUCAGAGAGAAUGGGGUUGGUUUUUCUUGGUUCUGCUGUACUUGACUGUCUUCCACACCUUGUUUUGUGUUAAAGAGCUCAUUUUGUGAAUCCUGGCAGCUUGUAGUGUAACAUUCCUUCGUGGUUCUCUUCUUGGGUCUCAUUCUGUAUGCACGAAUGAUGAUGGGAAAAUCUUUCAAGCCCAACCAGUUUUCCCCAUCCUCACUCAAAUAAGAAUCCAAAACCCACAUUCUCUGGCUAGUUCUGCUGUGCAUUAGUCAGUUUAUAACAAAUGGUCUCGGUUUUCCCAGGAAAUGUCGCUCCAUUCUUGCAUAACCUGAAUUGAGUUGGUAGGGGCAGCAUUUACGAAAAGAUAACCUCCUUGCCCUUAGCAGGAAAUCUAACAACAGAGGAUAUGGCUGUGUGUAGGUACAUAAGAUGCACUCCUGUCCCUCCCGAUAAAAGCCACUGUCAGUAUCAACCAGAAAGUGGAGGAAGUCUUUCUGACAGGAAGCCAGAACGGGGAAUGAGAUGACCAAGGUAGCAUGCAGCAGGGACUCUGCUUUCCAUUGUUCAAGUCCAGGUGUCAAAGAAGAGGCUCUUUAGUGGGAGAAUUUGGGUGGCAUGUAGUACCAUGGGCGAAGUGCCCAGCCCUCUGACUCUUUUAUUUCUAGUGGUUUAGUUGCAAAGUGCUGUGAUGGUUAAAGAUGACUGGUCUGAAAAACUGAAACUGAUCCAGCAAGAGAAACAGAAUUAAAGGUAAAAACAUAGAGGGCUGGAGAAAUGGCUCAGCAAUUAAGAGCACUUGCUGCUGCUCAAAAGGACCUGAGUUUGAUUCCCACCAUUCAUGUCCGUCAACUCACAGCUGCCUGUGAUUCCAGCCUCAAAAGGUCCAGCACCCUCUUCUGGCCUCCACAAGUACCCACACUCAUGUGGCGUAUAUUCAGAUACAUACACAUAUGGAUGAGGGGCCUUCCUAUACGUGAAUGGAUGUUUAAAGGAAUUUGGGACAGCAGUGAAUCAGCUAGAGUCCUGAUUGGUUUCUGGCUCUAGAAAACUUAGCAAAGAAUGGUUCAGUCAAAUAAGUAAUUUAUCUCACAAGACAAGACCUCUAAAGUUGGACAUGGUGGCACACGCCUGUGAUUAUAUCAUAUAGGUAGAGGAAGGGGGAUCAGAAGUUCAAAGUCAGCCUCAGCUACCUAGAGAAUUCAAGGCUAGCGUGGGCUACAGAAGACACUAGCUUGAAAAUGUUCGCAAAGAUGCACUGUGCGUGACAGGAGGCCAAAGCAGGGAGAUUUACACCACUGUGACGAUUCAUCUCCGCUGUCAGGUUGACGGGAUUUGGAAUCACUGAGGAGACACACCUAAAGAGUCUGUUCUCGGACUGACUUGAAAAGAGAAAAUGAGAACGUGGGCUGAGCACCAGAUUCAUCUUCCUCUUUUCCCUGAUAUGGUUGGCUAUGUCCUCUCGAACCACAACACAAAACAAAGCCAUAAUUUGUCACAGCUAGGACAAGACUAAGGCAACCACCAGGCACCUAAACUCCAUGCUCUAUAAAGCCUCCUGCACUCUCCAGUCACCUGAACCCAGCCUGGGAGGAAAGACUGAGAGGCUGAACUACAGCUUGAACACAUGCUCCCUUACUUCCCACCGGCACUUAGACAUUUUCUCUCGCCAUAGUAGCAUCUGGGGAAUCAGGCUGAGCUGGAGUGAUGAAAACACAGACGGUGCAGCAGAUCAGAGGCUCUGAGUCCAGGAGACAGGGAGAAAGAACUGCUCUGCCCAGAUCACAGCGUGAUCCUUGGGAGUUAAGACACAUGGUGAAGAACGCUGACCAUGCCCAAAGACUGAAAUUGACCUGAGCCAACAUGAAAUGUCUCUUGUUGCCCUCAACCAAGCAAAAUGGCACCAGCUCACUAAGUGCUUCUGGGAACUUUCUGCGUUAACUGUGGUGCCUAAGACAUGAAUGCGCACCUUAACGCACAGGUACCAGUUCUAGGUUCCCCCUUCCACAAAAGGAACACAGAGCGAAGCGCCCAGGAAGCUGUCCCUGACACACAUAGCAGGAAUGAUGUUUACACAGGAUUACCUGAAGAUCAACAUCUGUGAGGAGGAAGGGAGUGCACGCUUAAGCCAACCCCUCAGGCAGCCCUGGGCCUGACCUGUCCCACAGGGUAAAGCAGACAUUCCUAACUCAGCUUUGAUCAGCUACUGGACACAUCUGAUCCCGGAAGGAUGUGAAUCCCUUCUAACUGGUAAAAUCAUCCUGACGGCUCAUCUAGGGGUCACCUGCCAGGAGCUGCACAGCAGCCAGAGGGACAGGUCUUUCCCUGGGGGGAGAACAUCAGAGAGCCCACCACACUGACAGCCUGACUUGCAUGGCAUCCACAUCUUCGGGGCUUUUGGGGUUUUUUUUCCUAGUUUGACCACAUAAGGGACAACCUAAUUUAAUGGUUGUCUAUUCUGAAGCUUAGUGAGAACACCAAAAAGUAAAAGGAUUGGGAAGGGAAAAUAAUUGGGGACCAGCUGCUGCAUAUAAUAUAUGCUUUUGUGCCUUUGUCUUGCUAUCAAAGAAUGUACCUUUUCAGAUCUACCUAAGGUUGCUGAACCUUAGUUCUGCUUCACUCAUUUAUUUUCAUCCCUGCUCAUCCAGUUUUUAAGUUACAUUUCGUAUGUAAGUGUGUUCAUUUGCAGCAUGCACAGGGAGGUCAGAAUAUAACCUGCAGGGGUCGGUCAGUUCUCUCCCUCCACCUUAUGGCUCCUGGGGAUCAAACUCCAGCUGUCAGGUUUGGUAUUGAGUGUCCUUUGCCCACUGAGCUGUCUCGCCAGCCAUUAUCUUGUCUCAAAACACCCGGUAGCCACAGCUACUCAUUUCAGUCCUACAACGCAUGGGGCUUGCUCACGACCUGGAGUUUUAAAAACAAGGCUGCUGCGAAAGGAAUUAUGGAGGGGUGCACGCCUCUCGGUGCGUUUCCAGGUUCCGUGCUUGGGAACAAAAUUGCUGGGUGCUCAGUAAAAGUGUUGGAAUUUUCAGUUUCUCCAGAAAAUACCAAAAUGCUUCUG